rnacentral:misc_RNA from 1 species
AUUUUACAUAUUCUUACUGUAAGACGUAAAAUGGUGUGGAUUUCUUUAGUCUUAGCAUGCGUGUAUUUUGCGUUAAAUUCCCCAGUUAUUGCCUUUCCGGAAAAGACUGAAACUUUGCAUGGCAACCAGAACUGGAAAUUGGCGAUGAAAAAAAUUGAAGAACUGCAGAAAAUUGUCAGGUUUCAGGAAGAUCGAAUAAACUCUUUAGAAAAAAGACGAGAAGAACCAGCAGAAAAAGUGAUCGAACUACAACGCAUUCUCAAAAACCAUUGCGGUCGCAUAACCCAGUUAGAGACACGGGUAAUUGAACUAGAGUCAACGUUGAAAAAAGAAAAGGAACCCAUUGCAAUUCAUCCAAUUGAGCAGGGAUUAGAUUCGUUAAAACCUACUGACAUUUCUAACAAUCGUAUUUCAGUGUUUAGAAAGGGUACGUCCAUAUCAUUUCAUUUAUAUAAUUUUUGUGUCAAUUGCCUUUUAAAUUAACAUAUAGUGUAGUUUAACUUUUCGUACAUUCACAAGAUAUGUAAUCCAAACCUUUUAAAUUCAUGUCUUCUUAAAGAACGAUUGCUUAAUCUUCAACCAACAUCAUUACCAAUGGAACGUGUUGCAUUUUAUGCCUAUCUGUCUACUCACGACACAACAUCUUCGGCUAUUCACCACAUUAUUGUCUUUGACAAGGUGAUAACAAACGUCGGAAACGCCUAUCAUCCCCACUCUGGGACAUUCAUUGCACCAAGGUCUGGUCUCUAUGUGUUUACCUGGACGAUUCGACAACAUGGAACAAGUUAUCACGUAACUGAAUUUUUAGUUGACAACAAUAUUGUCAAUGUGAUUUAUAUGGACCCAGGCAAUGUAAUGUCUGGUAGCGUCACAGGCACUGUUGUCGUGCAUGUCAACCAGGGAGAUGAUGUUCUUGUUAGAACUGGUUCAAAUUCAAAUAAUGGCCAAAUAAUAAGCGAUAAUAGUGGACGCUCUGCUUUUGCAGGCUGGAAUCUAAUGUAAAAUUACGAAUAAAUAUUGAAACUU